rnacentral:rRNA from 1 species
UACGUAGGGGGCAAGCGUUGUCCGGAAUCAUUGGGCGUAAAGAGCGUGUAGGCGGCUCGAUAAGUCUGCUGUGAAAGUCCAGGGCUCAACCCUGGAAGGCCGGUGGAAACUGUCGGGCUAGAGUCCGGAAGAGGCGAGUGGAAUUCCCGGUGUAGCGGUGAAAUGCGCAGAUAUCGGGAGGAACACCAAUGGCGAAGGCAGCUCGCUGGGACGGUACUGACGCUGAGACGCGAAAGCGUGGGGAG